GAAGGCAAGGGAUGCGGAAAAUUCUGGCGGCCACCAUUGCCGCCUCGGUCGGCCUGCUGGUCGGCGCCGGUACGAUCCCGGUCGCCGCCGC
rnacentral:tRNA from 1 species